CACUUUCCUAUUUUUGAGCAUUUGGAAACGUUUUAUAAGACCAAGAGCUGCAUUUAUUUGUCGCUUGCUCUGUUCCAAGUGUUACGAUGAUUUUCCCCCCUCUUCAUACAUGAUCUCAUUGAAUUUCCUUCUCACAGUGAUCCAAUGAGGAGGAAUUCAUUAUACCCACCUUACAGAGGGAAUACCUGGACAUGGGAGGAGUGAAGUACCAAAGGUCACGGUGCUGGUAAGUGACAAAGCUGGGAUUCAAACCAGGUCAUGUCUAAUGUCAAGGUGUGGGUCCUGCAAGCAUGACUCUAGACCCCUCCCCUGGUGUGUGUGAGGAAGGCACAUGACUCCUUGGGCACUACGGGGUUGCAGAAACACACAUCCGCAAGGUGAGUGAGUGGGAUGGCAACCAAAGCCCAGACGCGAAGGAGGGAAUGCUUUUCAGGUCCGCAGCUGCAGAGACAUCGUGAUGGACUAGACCAAAGCAGAGCGUCUCAAAGAGUGUGUUUCAAGAGAGGCAUUUCAGAAGUGAGAGCCAAGGGCCCUGGAUUAGAUGAAACUUACAUGGUCACCCUAUGAUAACAGGCAGCCAGAGCAGCAGAGGAAAACCAGGAGGAGCCAAUAUCAUGACGGACAUUGGAUUUCAUGACAUGAGGUCCCUGGAGACUUCAGCAGCAGAUGUUUGAGUUGUGAGCAUGCAACCCGGGUUUCAGAGGGUGAGGUGAGUGAGAAGCAAAGUAAAUUAUUUUAGUAUUGUUAUUUUCUACAGGCUUAAUGAAAAAUGAAGGGAGAAAGCGGAUUUUCAGAGUAUGGGGAACAGUGAGAGAAUUUUUCUCUGAAGAUGUCGAGCACUAGACUAUGUAUAAUUGUGGAGGCCUCAGCAUCUCAAAAAUUAAAACCAAAAUGAAGGUGCAGCAGUUGAUUGGUAAGGAAUAAUAACCUCUCAGAUCUCUGAAAUUCCCAGGCAUUCACUGGGGUCUGUCUGGUGAUCUGAGCUCUGUCUGAUGACCUGGUGGGCUUUCUGGUCUGGAAAUCCACGUGACCUGGCACCAGAGGUGUUUCUGGGUAUUGUCAGCUACCAUCCUUCCCACCCUCCUUGGAAUGGCUGCUUCCUUCCAAGGUUCUGGAGAUGCUUUGGCUUCUGAGCUGACAGGGGAGCAGCAGGACUCUGCAAAAGGGGAUUACAUGAUGU
rnacentral:lncRNA from 1 species